UACGGGGGGGGCAAGCGUUGUUCGGAAUUACUGGGCGUAAAGGGCUCGUAGGCGGCCAACUCAGUCGGACGUGAAAUCCCUCGGCUUAACCGGGGAACUGCGUCCGAUACUGGAUGGCUCGAGUGUGGGAGAGGGAUGCGGAAUUCCAGGUGUAGCGGUGAAAUGCGUAGAUAUCUGGAGGAACACCGGUGGCGAAGGCGGCUCUCUGGGCCUUACUUGACGCUGAGGAGCGAAAGCUGGGGGAGCGAACAGG
rnacentral:rRNA from 1 species